rnacentral:rRNA from 1 species
UCGAGAGAAACAUAAAAUGACGGAUGGUUGUGAAUGUGUGAAUGUGUCCCUUUCCUCGCCCCGCCCCAUGUCGGCGGGCGAUUGACCGUAGCUCGGUGCGAUCAGCACUAAGAAACAAUGAACUCGGAAGCAAAGGGUCCCUUGGCGUGCGCAAGGAGAGCCCAAUGCGUCGGAGAUUCCUCGGAAUCAAAUGACUCUCGGCAAUGGAUAUCUCGGCUCUUGCAUCGAUGAAGAACGUAGUGAAAUGCGAUACUUGGUGUGAAUUGCAGAAUCUCGUGAACCAUUGAGUCUUUGAACGCAAGUUGUGCCCGAGGCCUUGUGGUCGAGGGCACGCCUGCUUGGGCGUCAUGGCAUCGUCGCCUUUGCUCCAUGCAUGCAUGCAUGCACUGCCUGAGCCUACCGAGUAAAUUGAUUCCCCGCGCGCGCCCUCACACACAGUCGAACAAAGAGAAGUCAGUCAUCAAUCGGCAGGAUGGAUGUAGGUCGCCCUGCGCGAGAACAAACCGACCUCCUCCCUCUUCUUUAUCAAACCCUCCCUAGACACAUCCUUGCGUGAUUGCUUCCUACGUCGAAAGUACCUGGCCCGUCCACUAACUU